UUUCUUGAACGUCGAUUAAGGGUGUGCCUAAGGAGAGGAGUGAUCAUUCCUUCCUAUACCAAUCUUUGAAAUAAACUGGCAUAUGACUCUCCAAUUGGUGUGAAGCUAUCUAUCGACUUCUUCCUCAUUUCAUUGUUUGGCUUGGAUAGAAAAUCUGGCUUAGAAGGGUUUUGGUAUGUUUGUGGAGUUAGAGGAUGACUCUGGGGUGUUGGGGUAUGCCAUUGUGGGUAAGAUGAUAGUUGAACAUGUGGUUGUGCAUUAUACACUGGAUAUGGGUGUGGAGGAACAGAGUACAAUGGAUUUUGGGAGUGAUUAUGUGGAGCCUGGGCAUAAACUUGAGCUUGAGCCUGAGAUCGACGACGAUGUGGUCUUGUUGACCUUUCUUGCUGUCCAACUAUAAUUGCAGAUGCAUUUUCCUCAUUAUUUUUCUCCCCAACACUUCCUGAACCAUU
rnacentral:lncRNA from 1 species